rnacentral:rRNA from 1 species
ACGAAAGUCUGACGGAGCAACGCCGCGUGAGUGAUGAAGGUUUUCGGAUCGUAAAGCUCUGUUGUUAGGGAAGAACAAGUGCAAGAGUAACUGCUUGCACCUUGACGGUACCUAACCAGAAAGCCACGGCUAACUACGUGCCAGCAGCCGCGGUAAUACGUAGGUGGCAAGCGUUGUCCGGAAUUAUUGGGCGUAAAGGGCUCGCAGGCGGUUUCUUAAGUCUGAUGUGAAAGCCCCCGGCUCAACCGGGGAGGGUCAUUGGAAACUGGGAAACUUGAGUGCAGAAGAGGAGAGUGGAAUUCCACGUGUAGCGGUGAAAUGCGUAGAGAUGUGGAGGAACACCAGUGGCGAAGGCGACUCUCUGGUCUGUAACUGACGCUGAGGAGCGAAAGCGUGGGGAGCGAACAGGAUUAGAUACCCUGGUAGUCCACGCCGUAAACGAUGAGUGCUAAGUGUUAGGGGGUUUCCGCCCCUUAGUGCUGCAGCUAACGCAUUAAGCACUCCGCCUGGGGAGUACGGUCGCAAGACUGAAACUCAAAGGAAUUGACGGGGGCCCGCACAAGCGGUGGAGCAUGUGGUUUAAUUCGAAGCAACGCGAAGAACCUUACCAGGUCUUGACAUCCUCUGACAACCCUAGAGAUAGGGCUUUCCCUUCGGGGACAGAGUGACAGGUGGUGCAUGGUUGUCGUCAGCUCGUGUCGUGAGAUGUUGGGUUAAGUCCCGCAACGAGCGCAACCCUUGAUCUUAGUUGCCAGCAUUUAGUUGGGCACUCUAAGGUGACUGCCGGUGACAAACCGGGA